rnacentral:rRNA from 1 species
CCUACGGGAGGCAGCAGUGGGGAAUAUUGGACAAUGGGGGCAACCCUGAUCCAGCCAUGCCGCGUGAGUGAUGAAGGCCUUCGGGUUGUAAAGCUCUUUUGGCGGGGACGAUGAUGACGGUACCCGCAGAAUAAGCCCCGGCUAACUUCGUGCCAGCAGCCGCGGUAAGACGAAGGGGGCUAGCGUUGUUCGGAAUUACUGGGCGUAAAGCGAGUGUAGGUGGUUGUCCAAGUUGGGUGUGAAAGCCUUGAGCUUAACUCAAGAAAUGCACUCAGGACUGGAUGACUAGAGGACCGGAGAGGAUAGUGGAAUUCCCAGUGUAGUGGUGAAAUACGUAGAGAUUGGGAAGAACACCAGUGGCGAAGGCGGCUAUCUGGACGGUUUCUGACACUAAGACUCGAAAGCGUGGGGAGCAAACAGGAUUAGAUACCCUGGUAGUCCACGCCGUAAACGAUGGGUGCUAGACGUUGGCGAGCUUGCUCGUCAGUGUCGCAGCUACGACGUAGUCACCCGCCGUCGGGAGGUACGGCCGCGAGGUUAGUAAACGUUAAAGGUAAGUUAGACGGCGUGAGACGUGCCGACGGACGACGACGAGGGAGGUAGG